UUUGUGGCCAAAAAAAGUUGAGUGAGACAUUUCGCGCUCAUUCACUUCCGCCUCCCUCUCGGUCGCAACUGUUUUGCAUCUUGUUUCAUCGCGUUUCACGAUGCCCCGCUUCAACUACGAUUCCACCACGGCCGUCUGCAUCGCCACGGAUGACAAACGAUUUAUUAGUAAUAUCACUGUUUAUAUCUUAUCUGGAUAAGAUACUCAAUUAGACAUCAAGAUGACUGUCACUCGUACACUCAAAAGAUACUAAGAGUAUAGAAGCCAAAAGAGAAACUUGAGUGAUGCAAAAGUUAAAAUUGCUACGAUGGUGCUCACCACAUCUACUCGCAAGUCAAGUUCCUCAAGAUGAAGCAUUAAUAACGCAGCCCUGACAAAAUAAUGCAAAUUUGAAGAAUUCAUAAACAUAAAAAGAACUAACUACUAAUUAAGGUAUAGACUAGAAGAAAUAAUAAAAAUUAAAAUGUAAUAUAAUACUUAGCUACCUACGUUUCGCUACUUCAUAUUGAACUGAACCGGAGCCUGACAAUGCACCACACGACCUUUUUCUGAUUAUGUAAAACGCCAUGAAUAGAAUAGAAUUGAUCACAUCUCACAAGGAAGGAGGAGUGAUAUGGCGAUAACAUAUUUUCUUGGCGAAGAAGAAAUUACUGUCUCAAUGCGUAAAAUAUUACUCUACGAAGCAAGAAGGCUAAGAAUGAAGAAAGAAAAGAAGGCAAAACAUAAACGCAAGACGCAAAUAGUAGUUCACGACACGACAAGUUCAUCAGUAUCAUGGAAUUAUCGACAUUGGACUUGAAAUCUCAGUUGAAGUUCCGGUAUUGGAUUGACGACAGCAGUCAACUAUCGAUGAACACUGAUUUGAAGAUGCUUGACGUUCUACAGAGGAAGCAAGAAAAUAACAAUUAGAGAUAUUUACAGAUUAAAACAUAGUAGUUAUGCA